UGAGCAACCUGCCCUUGACCCUGGAAUAACAGCUGGAAACAGCUGCUAAUACCGGAUACGACCUCCGAUGGCAUCAUCUGGAGGUGGAAAGCUCCGACGGUCAAGGAUGGGCUCGCGGCCUAUCAGCUUGUUGGUGAGGUAACGGCUCACCAAGGCCUCGACGGGUAGCCGGCCUGAGAGGGCGACCGGCCACACUGGGACUGAGAUACGGCCCAGACUCCCGUAGGGA
rnacentral:rRNA from 1 species